GCGGUGUCUUCGUUCGUCACCGCUGUUCCCUAGUUUCACCCCGCCCCUUUCCGUUUUCACGAAAAACCAACAAACCAAUCAAGUUCCAUUCCUCCCCCUUUAUUUUCGUCGCAGCUUCCGGCCCCGCCGGGCUUCCACCAAUCCAAGCGUCCGGGGCUUCCCAUCCGGAUGCUUUAAAAAAAAACUCGCUUGUUUCCAAUCAGAGGCAAAGGAACGAAGGAGGGAUCGGUGGAAGCUUUGACUUCACUCCCUUUUAAAGUCCGGGCUUCCAACAAGGCUUGGCUGCUCUACUAUUUAAGCCAAUGAGAAGUCGCUUCCCCUUUCGCUCUUUCUUAAAAAAAAAAGCCUGCCAAUUCGCCCAAUCGUCUUCCCAGAGAAGCUCUUCCGCAGUCCAAUGAAAGGCGGGAGGCACGCGAAGCACCCAAUGAGGGAGGGGCAAGCCCCCCUCCAGCGUCAAGCGUGCGGAGGGGGGCGCGCGAGGGGAGGAGCCAAUGAGGUGCCGCGCAGCGCCCCUACUGCUCAACAGCUUGUUAUUUGGGUGGUGAGAGUGGCGCUGGGCUGAAAGAGUGACACUCGGUCCGUCUGUGAGUGGGAGCCGCCGAUCCCGGGCUGCUGAGGGGGCGGAGGAAGAAGAGAAGGCGGAGCAAGGCGGGACAGCCCCUAUUGCUGCUGCCGCUGCUGCUGCUGCUGCUGUCGUCGUCGUCGCCCUCCUCCUCCUCUUUGGCCGCUGCUGUCGCGGCUUGUUCCUGGUGGGGGUCGGACGGUGUCUUCGGCCGGGCUGCCCGCGCUCUACGCCGGGCGAGGAGAGCUGCCGCCGUGGACUGCACUCAGCAAUGCAAGCUAUGCUGACAUGAACAUUCUAGACUUUUAGGGAUUGCUGUUUAUAACACCAAAAGUCAGUGUUUUAAUGACUGACUGCAGUUUUCAUAGAGUUUCUUCAACUGUGGUACACAAAACGCUUUGAGCUGGAAUCCCUCAAAUAACCAUCAAAUAUGAAGGCAGCAGAUGAGCCUGCCUACCUAACAGUGGGGACUGAUGUCAGUGCCAAAUAUCGGGGUGCUUUCUGUGAGGCAAAAAUUAAGACAGUGAAAAGGCUAGUGAAAGUUAAGGUGAUCUUAAAGCAAGAUAAUUCAACACAAUUGGUGCAAGAUGAUCAGGUGAAAGGACCUUUGAGGGCUGGUGCAGUUGUUGAAACCAAGAUGCCUGAUGGAACCUUUCAAGAAGCUAUCAUCAGUAAAUUGACAGAUGCCAGCUGGUAUACUGUGGUUUUUGAUGAUGGUGAUGAGAGGACAUUGAGACGGACCUCACUGUGUUUGAAGGGGGAGAGGCACUUUGCUGAAAGCGAGACACUUGACCAACUGCCACUAACAAAUCCAGAGCACUUUGGAACACCUGUAAUUGGAAAGAAGUCCAACAGAGGAAGAAGGUCGUCUCUUCCUGUCAAUGAAGAUGAAAAAGAAGAAGAAACUAGUGAAGAGGAAGAGGAAGAUAAGAGACGUCUUAAUGAUGAAUUGCUUGGUAAAAUUGUCAGUGUGGUAUCCAGUACUGAAAAGGCAGAACGGUAUCCAGCUUUGGUCUUAUCCCCCAGCUGCAGUGAUGACAUUUUAGUGAAAAAGGACCAGUGUUUAGUUCGUUCUUUUGCAGAUUCCAAAUUUUAUUCAGUAGCAAGAAAGGACGUUGAAGAAUUAGAUUUUAGAAACUCAGAACUGCCUUCUAAUAAAGGGGUACAAGAGGCAAGCUCUUUCUUCCAUUGGAAAGCCAUUCCUUCUAUUUGGAAGAUGGACAUGCGUGAAAUCUUGGAAUCCUCCAGCAGUGAUGAAGAAGAUGGAGGAGAGACAGGAAGUAAUGAUGAUGAAGAAGAAAAAGGAGAACAAAAAGAGGAAGAAGUAGUGCCUGAGGAAGAGCUUGAUCCUGAAGAGAGGGACAAUUUCCUCCAGCAGCUUUACAAGUUUAUGGAAGACAGAGGAACUUCUAUCAAUAAACCACCUGUUUUGGGCUAUAAGGAUCUUAACCUCUUCAAACUUUUCAGACUGGUAUAUCAGCAGGGUGGGUGUGACAAUAUUGAUAGUGGAGCUGUUUGGAAACAAAUUUAUAUGGACCUUGGCAUUCCUAUUUUGAAUUCAGCUGCUUCCUACAAUGUGAAAACUGCGUAUAGAAAGUAUCUUUAUGGUUUUGAAGAAUACUGUCGUUCUGCAAACAUUCAGUUCCGAACCAUCCACCACAAUGAACCAAAAAUAAUUGUAGUACAGAAAAAAGAAGAGCAAAUGGAGGAAAAGGUAAAAGAAGAGCCUGAAAUGUCUCCUGUAGAGAUUCAGAAUGAGAUGGAAGAAAACAACUGUAGCAGUGAAAGUGAAAAAGAAGAACUGGAACAGAGGUCUCAACGGGGACGAAGAAGACAUAUCCGUGAUGCGUCUCUUGUUAAAAAAGAAGGUGAAGAUGAUAAAAUACAAGAUAAGCUAAAAGACAGCAACAAGGAGAAUAAAGACAUAGAAGAGAUUUCCAGUAAUGUAGAGAAGAUUGAAAAUGAUAUGGCACUUGCAAACAGAAAGACUACACCAAAGCAAAAGGAAAAGAGGGCAAAACAGGAAGAGGAAUCUGACAGGGAGUCAGAUGAAGAGGAAGAGAGAAGCAGGGAAGAACUUGAAAAUCGAGAAUCGGAAGGGGAAGAAUGUGAAGAAGAUGCAGAGCCUUGUCUUACAGGAACCAAAGUAAAAGUAAAAUAUGGCCGUGGUAAAACACAGAAAAUCUAUGAAGCUAGUAUUAAAAGUACAGAAAACGAUGACGGAGAGAUUUUGUAUUUGGUGCAUUAUUAUGGCUGGAAUGUUAGAUAUGAUGAAUGGGUAAAAGCUGAUAGGAUUAUUUGGCCUGCAGAAAAAGGAGGACCAAAGAAGAAGCAAAAGAAAAAAACAAAAAGUAAAGAAGACUCUGAAAAAGAUGAAAAGAAAGAGGAAGAAAAACAAAAGGGAAAGCGUGGACGUCCUCCUCUGAAAUCAACUCUUCUAUCAAAUCUCUCUUGUGGUCUGUCUAAAACUCCUAAUAGUGACAGCAAAUCAGGGGUGCGAAGUGCACGCAGCAGCUUGCUGGAUUGUUCACCCUUGCUUAAUGGGACAGAAGACUCAGUUUCAUCAGAUAGUGAAGCAGAUGAAGCUUCUGAAAAGAACAUUAAUGAAGAAUUUUCUCCAGCAAGUUUUGAAAUGGAAAAUGAAAAACGAACAGUUGAUAAGCCUGUUGAAGAGAUUGCAAAGAUCUCACAAAUGCUAAAAGAGAAUGAUCAGAAUCAAGUUCAUCCUUUAGAAAAAUUGAAAUUAGAAAGUGAAGAGAGUGAACAAGUGGUUCAGAAUUGUGGAAGUAAAAAUGAUCAAAUAGAAGAAGUGAAAAGAGAGGUGGAGAAAUCACCUAAAGGAAAAGGCCGGAAGAACCGAACAAGAGAUUCUUUCCUAGAGAAUUCAAAGAUUACGUUACUAAAUCAGGAAGAAACAACCAAUGAACCUGUUGCAGAAUCUGAACGAUUAAAUAUUUCUUCCUUGGAAAAUAAAGGUUUGAGCUCUAAUUCUGAGAAUGAAACAGAUCUCUGGGCAAAAGAUAAGAAGCUUAUGAAAAGAAAAGUGAUAGAACAGCCAUCACCUGACAAAAGGAUACGACAAGAGGGUGAGCUCACUGUGCCACAUAUUGUGACUGAAGAGAAGGCAAAUGAAUGUUAUGGGGCAGAAGAAUGUAAGGAUUUCACUGCUGAUGAGUCUCUUCGAAAUGAGAAUGAAGAAAUGCCAUCAUUGGUGGCAGAAUCAGAUCAACGGCUCCAUGUUAGGGGAAGUGAACCCUUUGAUUGUUCUUCAGAGGAAAACCGUAGCACACUGUUGAAAGAUGAAGAUGACUCCAUGCCUCAAAUUGGUCCUGAAACUCUUCUUUGCCAUGAAGUAGACUUGGAUGAUCUUGAUGAAAAGGACAAGAAUGGGCCUGAAAGUUUGGUUGCAGAAAAGCAUGAUGGUAGUAACCUCACUUCAAAUCCCCCUAUGUUACCUUCUGUGAUCCAGCCAAAUUUCUCUGUUGCCUCACCUCUAAUGUUCAGUCAGGAUGAAUCACCAAGCAUAAAAAGUGAAAGUGACAUGACUAUUGAAGUGGACAGUAUAGCUGAAGAGUCUCAAGAAGGCCUUUGCGAGAAUGAAUCUGCCAAUGGGUUUGAAGCUUCCAGCAACUGUAGCAUAGCUGGUCCAGAAAUUGGAGAAAAGGGACAAAAAAGGCCUGGGGAUAACAGUGGUAGUUCACUGGCAAAGCGGCAAAAGCGUACCCCCAAACGAGCAAGUACGAUAGCCAAAAGUGAGAAAAAUGGGACAGGGCAAAGCAGUGAUAGUGAAGAUCUUCCUGCCCUUGACAGCUCAAGUAAAUGUACUCCUGUAAAGCAUAUUGGUGUAACGAAGCCACAGAAACUCAAUCGAUCGCCUGCCAGAGGGGUAUCUCCUAAUAUCAAAGAUGGGGAUAAGGAGAAACAGAGAGAGAAGAACCAUCAUGUUUCUCCAAGAGUGUACAAAUGGACUGUCCAGCUUAAUGAAUUGGACAAUAUGAGCAGCACAGAGAGAAUCUCAUUUCUACAAGAAAAACUACAGGAAAUCAGGAAAUGUUACAUGUCUCUGAAAUCAGAAGUAGCAACGAUUGAUAGGAGAAGAAAACGAUUGAAAAAGAAGGACCGAGAAGUGUCCCAUACUGGAGCUUCCAUGUCCUCUGGCUCUUCAGACACUGGAAUGAGCCCAUCCUCACCCUCCCCUCCACAGAGUGUGCUUGCUGUUGAAUGCAGGUGAUACUGGUGAUUAUCUCUGCUUCAUGCAGCAAAUUGCUGCCAUGGACAGAAAUCCGAAAAUCUCACAGAAAGCACCCAGUUGGUUUGACAUUGCCAAGUAUAGUGUGUAUACUCUUCCACUGCUGGACUUGUCUGUCUCUACUCCUUUGUGCCCCUUCCUCUAUUUUGUCCAUAUAGUUUUUUUUAAACAACAUAUUUUAUUGUGGAGAAUAAUCUAAUUCGCAACUAAAGGUUAAUGGGUGCACUUAAGACACCUCUGUCUUAUGCUUUGUUUUUUUUACUUUGCUUUAAACAGAAAAAGGGCACUUAAUCUGAUUUGAAAACACAGGUAUCCAAUGAAGCAUUGGGCAUUGUAAAAAAAAAACAACUUUAAGUAAAAGCAAGUGCACCAAAAAUAGCAUCAAAAUAAGUUAAUCAGAAAAUAAUUACUGCUGCACUUUUUUCACCGAGCUAUAUCUUAAUUCUGAGCGAGAGUCCCACUUUUAUUUUUAUGUUUUGGAGAUGCAGUUGCUUUGUACAGACUUGCCAAAGUAGGUACUCAGCAUUGUGCCCAGUUUUAAAUUGGACAAAAUAAAUUGUGAAAGGAAGCGUAGUUGACUGGAAAC
rnacentral:lncRNA from 1 species